rnacentral:rRNA from 1 species
ACCGAGUGCUAGCAUCAUAUGCUGGCUGUCCAGGUGUGUAAAAUACACCUGUUAGCAAGGGCCGGGCAAGACCGGUGCCAGCCGCCGCGGUAACACCGGCGGCCCGAGUGGUGAUCGUGAUUAUUGGGUCUAAAGGGUCCGUAGCCGGUUUGGUCAGUCCUCCGGGAAAUCUGAUAGCUCAACUAUUAGGCUUUCGGGGGAUACUGCCAGGCUUGGAACCGGGAGAGGUAAGAGGUACUACAGGGGUAGGAGUGAAAUCUUGUAAUCCCUGUGGGACCACCUGUGGCGAAGGCGUCUUACCAGAACGGGUUCGACGGUGAGGGACGAAAGCUGGGGGCACGAACCGGAUUAGAUACCCGGGUAGUCCCAGCCGUAAACGAUGCUCGCUAGGUGUCAGGCAUGGCGCGACCGUGUCUGGUGCCGCAGGGAAGCCGUGAAGCGAGCCACCUGGGAAGUACGGCCGCAAGGCUGAAACUUAAAGGAAUUGGCGGGGGAGCACAACAACGGGUGG